GAGUUUGAUCAUGGCUCAGAUGAAACGCUGGCGGCAGGCUUAACACAUGCAAGUCGAGCGGAAACGAUGAUAGCUUGCUAUCAGGCGUCGAGCGGCGGACGGGUGAGUAAUACUUAGGAAUCUACCUAGUAGUGGGGGAUAGCUCGGGGAAACUCGAAUUAAUACCGCAUACGACCUACGGGAGAAAGGGGGCAACUUGUUGCUCUCGCUAUUAGAUGAGCCUAAGUCGGAUUAGCUAGAUGGUGGGGUAAAGGCCUACCAUGGCGACGAUCUGUAGCUGGUCUGAGAGGAUGAUCAGCCACACCGGGACUGAGACACGGCCCGGACUCCUACGGGAGGCAGCAGUGGGGAAUAUUGGACAAUGGGGGCAACCCUGAUCCAGCCAUGCCGCGUGUGUGAAGAAGGCCUUUUGGUUGUAAAGCACUUUAAGCAGUGAAGAAGACUCCAUGGUUAAUACCCAUGGACGAUGACAUUAGCUGCAGAAUAAGCACCGGCUAACUCUGUGCCAGCAGCCGCGGUAAUACAGAGGGUGCAAGCGUUAAUCGGAAUUACUGGGCGUAAAGCGAGCGUAGGUGGCUUGAUAAGUCAGAUGUGAAAUCCCCGGGCUUAACCUGGGAACUGCAUCUGAUACUGUUAGGCUAGAAUAGGUGAGAGGAAGGUAGAAUUCCAGGUGUAGCGGUGAAAUGCGUAGAGAUCUGGAGGAAUACCGAUGGCGAAGGCAGCCUUCUGGCAUCAUAUUGACACUGAGGUUCGAAAGCGUGGGUAGCAAACAGGAUUAGAUACCCUGGUA
rnacentral:rRNA from 1 species